rnacentral:lncRNA from 1 species
GAUUAAUGUGGAUAGUUAUGGGAAAAAUACGCAAAUAUUUCAAAAUAAGCAAGUGGUUAUAAAAUAUUUAUUGUUGUCGGAAAAUAUUCGUUUGGUCGUGGAAUAUUCGUACUGUCGGGGAAUAUUCGUACGACGGCGCAGCCAUGUGUGGGCCCCAUAACGGAAAGCGAUUGGAUGAAGAAAACGACAAAUAUAAGUUGUUUAAAAAUAACGGCGUAGUUGUUACCGUUAAUACUGUUAAAAUACUCGGUGGUUAACACACAGUAGCACACGGUAUUGCACCAAUUAUUGAUUCUUACGUAAG